rnacentral:lncRNA from 1 species
GAACAUUGUUAUUAUUGUGUUGUGUAUGGAGAGAGCAGAUGUUCAUCGAAAAUCGGCGCCGCGCCAUGGUGAGUGUUUUGGGUUUGGUAUGGUUUUUGUUGUAGCAGGUUUGGAUUAUGGUGAAGAAAUGGUAAUGUUUUCACGUUUUUCUUUGGUUUGAAGGGAUAUGUUUUUAUGGUGCGAAUAAAUUAUGCUCAUGAAGGUUGUGAGAGUGUGAAUUUAAUGUGAAG